rnacentral:rRNA from 1 species
GGUGGGGACCUUAGGGCCUGUCGCUUAGAGAGGAACCCGCGUCCGAUCAGCUUGUUGGUGAGGUAAUGGCUCACCAAGGCUUCGACCGGUAGCUGGUCUGAGAGGAUGGUCAGCCACACUGGGACUGAGACACUGCCCAGACUCCUACGGGAGGCUGCAGUCGAGGAUCAUUCGCAAUGGGCGAAAGCCUGACGAUGCGACGCUGCGUGGAGGAUGAAGGCCCUCGGGUCGUAAACUCCUGUCAUGAGGAAAAAUUGUUUCGGUGCGAAUAACGCCGGAACUUGAUGUUACUUCAAGAGGAAGCCACGGCUAACUCUGUGCCAGCAGCCGCGGUAAUACAGAGGUGGCGAGCGUUGUUCGGAUUCACUGGGCGUAAAGGGUGCGUAGGUGGUUCCGUAUGUCGGAUGUGAAAUCCCGUCGCUCAACGGCGGAAUGGCAUUCGAAACUGCGGUUCUAGAGUGCAUGAAGGGAGAGCGGAAUUCUUGGUGUAGCGGUGAAAUGCGUUGAUAUCAAGAGGAACACCGGUGGCGAAGGCGGCUCUCUGGAAUGCUACUGACACUGAGGCACGAAAGCUGGGGGAGCAAACAGGAUUAGAUACCCUGGUAGUCCCAGCCGUAAACGGUGUACACUUGGUGUUGGGGGAGUUGACCCCUCAGUGCCGGAGCUAACGCGUUAAGUGUACCGCCUGGGGAGUACGGCCGCAAGGCUAAAACUCAAAGAAAUUGACGGGGGCCCGCACAAGCGGAGGAGCAUGUGGCUUAUUCGAUGCAACGCGAAGAACCUUACCAGGGCUUGACAUGUAACUGCUCAUCCUGCGAAAGCAGGACUCUUUCGAAGGUGUUACACAGGUGCUGCAUGGCUGUCGUCAGUUCGUGCCGUGAGGUGUUGGGUUAAGUCCCGCAACGAACGCAACCCCUGUGGUUAGUUGCCACCGCCGGUGAUGAGCCGGCGAGCACUCUAGCCAGACUGCCCCGUUUAACGGGGAGGAAGGUGGGGACGACGUCAAGUCAGUAUGGCCCUUACGCCCUGGGCUGCACACGUGCUACAAUGGCCGGUACAGAGGGAUGCAAGACCGCGAGGUGGAGCUAAUCCUUAAAACCGGCCUCAGUUCGGAUUGAAGUCUGCAACUCGACUUCAUGAAGUUGGAUUCGCUAGUAACGGCGUAUCAGCUACGACGCCGUGAAUACGUUCCCGGGCCUUGUACACACCGCCCGUCACAUCAUGAAAGCCGUCUGCACCCGUAGUCGCUGUACCAACCCGCAAGGGAGGAA